rnacentral:rRNA from 1 species
UACGUAGGGGGCAAGCGUUGUCCGGAUUUAUUGGGCGUAAAGAGCGUGUAGGCGGCUUGGUAGGUCCGCUGUGAAAACUCGAGGCUCAACCUCGAGAUGUCGGCGGAAACCACUUGGCUAGAGUCCGGAAGAGGAGAGUGGAAUUCCUGGUGUAGCGGUGAAAUGCGCAGAUAUCAGGAAGAACACCGAUGGCGAAGGCAGUGUUCUGGGCCAGUACUGACGCUGAGGAGCGAAAGCGUGGGGAGCAAACAGG